GCCAGGCGUGGUGGCGCACGCCUGUAGUCCCAGCUACUCAGGAGGCUGAGGCAGGAGAAUUGCUUGAACCCAGGGGAUGGAGGCUGCAGUGAGCCGAGAUCGCACCACUGCGCUCCAGCCUGGGUGACAGAGCGAGACUCUAUCUCAC
rnacentral:SRP_RNA from 1 species